GUGUAGUCAGCCGGCAUUUUUCGAGUCGUGUUGUAAAUGUUGGUAAUUCGCCGUAAAUAUCUCUUGAUUUGUACUCAAGGGUGGAGCAAGACCCCAAGAAAGAGAGAUUGACGCAUCGGGAGCGAAGAACAGAAACGAUGGAUGGUUACGCUGCUUGGGUCUCGGCACGUUCGAAUUGGCAAAGUUCCGAAUUUGUUGCUGUGUUGUGUACGCUUGUGCGCUCGUUAUUUGCCGUCAUCGCGCGGAGAUAUUUGCGCUGGAUGUCUUUCACUUCGUGUACAAAACUCUGCUCGCUGCGGCAUCGAAGAAGUUGUCCUGUGUUUGGAAGCACGUAUGCGCUUGGACACGGAUAGCCUGCUUGCUCUCAACGGGUGUUCAACAGUCUACGCGCGCUCGUAACUUGCUCAUGAGGCAAGUUGCUGUUGUGCUGGAGCUGAGAAGAGGUCUGCUGCCUGCAAUGGGUCCAUCUCUCUCAAGUUAUUGCAGUAUUAUAGCUCUCAAGGUUCAAAAAAAGUAUGGUGGAAGCUGUUGCCAAGGUUCCGACCAGAAAAGACAGCCAGUAUAAAAGGGUCCACGCCACUGAUCUCUACUACAGGGGAUGAACAGCACAUCGAGCGCCCUCGACUGAAGCUGGCCUUGUCCCGGAAGUUGGUGCUUGACAACUUUGCGGCAGCACUUUGUUGCACGGCCUGUGGAGACAAGGUUUCUUAGACAUGGCCGUGGCCCUCAAGGAAGAUGCCGAGGCCACAGGCAGUUCCUCCAGUGACCGUGAAAAGGUCCCCUGGGGCACAAGUCUGGUUUGGCACCCCCACCUUUCUGCUGCAGCUUUUCUGUCUACUUAGCUAACCAGCAGCAAGUUUAUCCUUGCAAGUGUUUGGAGUCAAGAACAACUUUCACCAGGAAGAAAUGCAAGACGAGUGAUUGAAGAAAAUAAAGUUGCUUCUGUG